ACGGAAGGCAGCAGUGGGGAAUACUGCACAAUGGGCGCAAGCCUGAUGUAGCGAUGCCGCGUGAGGGAAGAAGGUUUUCGGAUUGUAAACCUCUGUCAACAGGGACGAUAAUGACGGUACCUUAGGAGGAAGCUCCGGCUAACUACGUGCCAGCAGCCGCGGUAAUACGUAGGGAGCGAGCGUUGUCCGGAAUUACUGGGUGUAAAGGGAGCGUAGGCGGGAUGGCAAGUCAGAUGUGAAAACUAUGGGCUCAACCCAUAGACUGCAUUUGAAACUGUUGUUCUUGAGUGAAGUAGAGGUAAGCGGAAUUCCUAGUGUAGCGGUGAAAUGCGUAGAUAUUAGGAGGAACAUCGGUGGCGAAGGCGGCUUACUGGGCUUUUACUGACGCUGAGGCUCGAAAGCGUGGGGAGCAAACAGGAUUAGAUACCCUGGUA
rnacentral:rRNA from 1 species